GUCUCCGGGCUCCGCGAGCCUCAGUCCCUGUCUCUGCAUUUCGGAGAGAGGCACGAGGAGCCUGGUCAUGAAUUAACUGGGUAAAAACUGCCGGUCCCGGUGUCUCUGAGCUGAGCUGUCCCGUGGCUGCAGAGCGCGGUGCACGCGGGCAGGGUCCCUCCCGGAGGCCGCCCCAUCUCCCGCGGACGCGCCGCGCUGCGCCCUGGUUCCCGGGGAGAGUCGCCUCCAGCCCGAGCCGAGUUCGCCGCCGCCGGGCGGUGCGGCUGGGGCGCUGCUGACGUCAGGUUCUGCACACAGUUGUGAUUGGACCUAAUUAGACGCUGCGGCAGCAAAUAGACGAGCUCCCUGCGUGACUGGCUUCAAAGUGGCUGGUGCCAAACAACUCGCAGAGGCGCAAAAGUAGCCGCCCCGCGCCCGCCCGCCCGGAGCCCAGACCAGGCGGCGGCCGCGGGAGCCGGGAGCCGGGAGCGCUCAGGAAGCCCGCGCCCUUCCCGCUUCGGGGUCCAGGGAGCCGCCCGCUCCGCGCGCCCAGCCCGGCCCGGCGGGAGCGGGUCGCCGAGAACCGUCCGGGAGAGAGAGGCAGAGACGCGGCGCGCGCUCCUGCUCCGUCCUGAAAAGUGUCGGCUCCGAUUUUCCAGCCUCAGAAGCUUCGCGGCGGCGGCGGCGGCGGGAAGGAAGCAGCGGAGGGACAGGUGCUGGAGGCGCCCCGGGCUCCGCGACCGGGUGUCGGCCAUGGCCUCGGUCCUGGCAGGCGGCAGAGGCUCCGGAGGGUUGAGCAGUCAACUCAAAUGCAAGUCCAAGAGAAGGAGGAGGCGGCGCUCCAAGCGGAAAGUUGAUGAGUGAGUGGAACAUGACCUUGGGGACCGGUCAAGUAGAGGAGAUGGAUCAUGCUGUGGUCUAAAGGCGAGAAAUCAAAACCAGGACGGACCCUGUGACCUCCCGCCCGCAACCAGCCAAAGGGCUUGGCACAAAUAGCUUGAGGGUUUUGGCCAACGAUAUUUGUGCAGUUCAUCAAAUCAUGAUUGUGACUAUUUCAUGCUAGGCUGUAUAAACGUUUUAUUCUGACUUUUUACUACAAGCCAGAUCAGUGUUGGUCAAACCCGUGUUAUAACAAAUAGCUCCUACUGAAAAUUGAAAAAAAGCUCAAAACAUUCAAAAUGCUGACCAAGGAGGUCCGGGAGGGCAAGCACAGCCCAGGCAGCUGCGUGUAGCCAUCACUGAAAUUCAGCAUAAGACUCACUCUCAAGUCACAGGCUUAGGACUUGUCAAUUGGAGGUGGCUGGGGCCUCCACAGUUGCCAGCUUUCUCACAAGAGGUUUGGGGGCUUUAGAAAAAUGAAUCUUUCAGAGAAUAACUUUUUCUGAAGUGGAGAAGGCGCACACGUUGGGGAACACGCUCACCACGCAGCACUGAUUCCUGGAACCCCGGCUGGCAGGGCUGUUCCAAGCAGCCUCCUUGCAGCCCUCAGGUCUGACAUGGGCUUCGGGGGAUCUCAGUGGCUGAAUAUUCUCCUACAGAACCUACUGGGAUUCUUAACACAUCAUGCUCUGAACAUUCUCCCACAGAACCUACUCUGAUUCUUAAGACAUUGUUCUCUAAACAUUAUCCCACAGAACCUACUCUGAUUCUUAACACGUCAUUCUUAGUUUUGCACAUUUAGCACAGGUUUAUGCUGGCUGUUCUAACAUCCUCCCAAUAACCUUUUUUUAAUACAAAACAUAGAUGAUCAUUGCUUUUAUUUUAUGAAUGAGAGGAUGAAGGCCAGGAUAAGUCAGUCACUGGCCUAGGAUCCCAUCCCAGAAGUGGCUGAACGGGGACAGAGCCGGUGCCCUCCUGCGAUGCCCAGCAAGGCCUGCCUGGCACUGAGUGGCACAGUGGCAGCACGGCCUGGGCCCCGUCAGCCCCGUCCCUGCAGCCGUCUCCGUGAGGGAACUCGCUGUUUCUGUUCAUCAUCUCUGUGAUCCGGUGCCCCACAGUGUUCAGUGUUCACUUUUCACGCUCUCAUCGUGCCACGUGUCUUUCCCAGAACAAUCAAGUGUCUCCUACAGGGUCUGCUCCAGUAAGGUGUAAGCCACACGUUUCUUUGUUUCUGUGACUGUGACUAGGAAAUAAAGAAAUCAUUUUGCAACA
rnacentral:lncRNA from 13 species